rnacentral:rRNA from 1 species
CACUUCUAAGGAAGGCAGCAGGCGCGCAAAUUACCCAAUCCUGACUCAGGGAGGUAGUGACAAGAAAUAACAAUAAACCGGCUUAUGCCGGUUUAAUUGGAAUGAGUACAAUUUAAACAUCUUAACGAGGAACAAUUGGAGGGCAAGUCUGGUGCCAGCAGCCGCGGUAAUUCCAGCUCCAAUAGCGUAUACUAAAGUUGUUGCAGUUAAAAAGCUCGUAGUUGGAUUUCUGUGGGGACGGAGCGGCCGGCCGCACAUCGCGGUUCGAGCUAGCGCUUUCCCUACAUCCUGCCGCGAACCGUGCUACCAUUAGUUUGGUGGCGCUGGGGAUCGGCUCGAUUACUUUGAGAAAAAUAGAGUGUUCAAAGCAGGCCACAUGCCUUGAAUAAGUUAGCAUGGAAUAAUAACUAAGGACUUCGGUUCUAUUUUGUUGGUGUUCGGGACUGAAGUAAUGAUUGAUAGGGACAGUUGGGGCGGUCUGUAUUCCAAAGCGAGAGGUGAAAUUCUUAGACCUUCGGAAGACAAACAGCUGCGAAAGCGUUCCGCAAGGAUGUUCCCUUUGAUCAAGAACGAAAGUUGGGGGAUCGAAGACGAUCAGAUACCGUCGUAGUCUCAACUAUAAACUAUACCAGCUAGGGAUCGGCCAACGUUAUUUUAUACCGACUUGGUCGGCACCUUAUGAGAAAUCAAAGCAUCUGGGUUCCGGGGGGAGUAUGGUCGCAAGGCUGAAACUUAAAGGAAUUGACGGAAGGGCACCACCAGCCGUGGAGCCUGUGGCUUAAUUUGACUCAACACGGGAAAACUUACCAGGUCCAGACAUAGUAAGGAUUGACAGAUUGAUAGCUCUUUCUUGAUUCUGUGGGUGGUGGUGCAUGGCCGUUCUUAGUUGGUGGAGUGAUUUGUCUGGUUAAUUCCGUUAACGAACGAGACCCCAGCCUGCUAAAUAGCGCGCGUGAGCUUUGCUCGCGGCGAGCUUCUUAGAGGGACUAUGAUGCGCGAUAGCACAUGGAAGUUUGGGGCAAUAACAGGUCUGUGAUGCCCUUAGAUGUUCUGGGCCGCACACGGGCUACACUGGCGCCUGCAACGAGCAUAUCAGCUGGCCCGAGAGGGUCUUGGCUAAUCUUUUAAACCGGCGCCGUGCUUGGGAUUGACCUUUGCAAUUGUUGGUCAUGCAGCGAGGAAUGCCUUGUAAACGCGAGUCAUCAGCUCGCAUUGAAUACGUCCCUGCCCUUUGUACACACCGCCCGUCGCUCCUACCGAUGAAUGUUCCGAUGAAAUUUUCGGAGAGCACCUGUGAACUUGGCUCUGCCUUGCGAACGGGAGGCUCAAAGUCACUUAAAUCUGAACAUUUCGAGG